UCCGUGAUUCUAGCGGAAGAAAAAAAACGUUUUUUCACGCAAAAAUAAUUUUCCCUGAAUUUUUUGUCCAAAAGCUAAGAAAAACUUGCAAAGAUCACACCUUCUCUUGGUGAUAACGCCUCCAUGAUCAAGGAAUCGGUGACCCCUUCAUGUGGUUUGCUCCAAGCACCAACAAGACUGGCCGGCGUUAAUAUUAGGUGUAGCUAUAGAAUAAUAAUAAUAAUAAUAAUAAUAAUAAUAAUAAUAAUAAUAAUAAUAAUAGGUAUUAAGGACAGUAAAACCGAGCCUAAAGCGAGCUCUCUCACGCCCCUAAUGUUUCUGGCCAUCGGAUUUCGUGUUUGAUCAGUUUCUAGCCAUCAGAUCUUUCUCUAAGGAUAGUUUACCGCGAUUUGGGCUGGCCGUCCUGAUAGGCUGCUAUUCUGGAGACCUUUUCGGAGGCCUGUGGUUAAUUGGGCUUCUACGGGCUGCUAUACAAGCCCAUUUGGGUAACCGACGACGGACCAACGACGUGUUGCCUUAUCCGGAAAAAAAACUGUUCGCUCGACACAGCACGAAACGGGUCAGUCGUGCGACAGAGAGUGGAUCCAGCGCCCGUGGAGAGGAGGAGAUCCUGCGAGGGGAUCCAAUCGACGAGCGCAUGAUGCGGGCGAUUGGUCUUCUGACCAAGAUCCUUUCCGCUGAAUCCAGCCGAUGCGCCCAAGGAAAUCCAGCAGAUGUGUGGUGCGGGUGGGGAUCCAGCGGACGCGUGCGAUGAGGGUGACUAAAGGGCCGCUCCAUCGAGCCGAGGCAGGCAAUCUACCUGCAAGGUGGAGUACGAGGGAGGGGACAUGGGCGAUGGUCGACGCCUCAUCUGAUGGAAACUGCUCCAUUGAGACUUGAAAGACGCAAUUAUACUUCGGCCGUUAUACUUCAUUUUCUGAGCGCCCAUUCAUGGCGAGUGAUGUGCUGAUCCUUUCCGGCGCCGAGUGGUGCAACAUAUCUUUUCGCCAGCACCUUCUCGUUGCAGCAUGGUGGCCACGCCUGACGGCUUUACUGUUCAUGGUAGAGCAGUGAUCAGCGGCAAGAGAGAUGGGGGAAAUAAUAGGGUUUACAAGUAGGUACAAAUCUUCAGAGACUAUAAACACCAGGUCUGGAGGGUUGAAACAGAUUCCAAGCACAUCUUCUUGGGAUGCAAAGAACGAAUUUAAGUUGGUAUUUCUUAAUUAAUUGAACACCAGGUCAGGAGAGUUGAAACAGAUUCCAAGCACUGAGUCAUGGUGGAGCUGAUGUGUUCUUUCUAUACGUAUUCCCUGGGAGAUGAUCACUUAAUCUGUAAAAUUUCAUAGUACCCGCUGGGAGAGUUCAUGCAGAUUUUCUUCCUCAUGUAUAAUUAUAAGUUGUCUAUUCACAAACGUUCAGUUCAGCUGCUGCAGAUGAUGCUUGGUUAUUGAGGUACUGCCAGUACAUAUGUUAACUCUAAACUGGACCAUUGAUUCAGCAACACUACUUUUUGUUUGACUGUAUCUUCAGCAAGGGUACUCUUAUUUCAUGAUUCUAUACUGAACCACUGGUUUUUGCUCGAGCUGUACUAUAGACUCUUAAUUGUGAUUUUUUUGAAGCAAAUUUCAUAUCUGCCACUUACGAGAAAUUUAGAUAAUCGUAGGCUUUUCAGAAGCUUUUGACCUUAGAACGAAGGCUCUUAAGAAGCUGCACUACAUGAAUAUGUGGAUAUCACAUGUAUGUUUUUCUUUCUUUAAAUUUCUGAUGCUUAUGAAUCGUCCGAUGUAAGUAGUUAGCAAGUAUGGAAGAUAAUGUAUGUUUUGAUCUGUCGAGAGAUGCUUUUUCGCUCCUAUUUCAUUUUGGCUUCGCCUCCAAAAUAUUUCAUUGGUUCUUGCACAUCUUGGCUACUUGAUUUCUGUAACUUUUGCAGUUUCAUUUCAUAUUUUCAUGUAAAAUGUGUGCUACAUUAAGUUUAUCUCAUAUCUAUGAGAAUACUGUGUAAUUAUAUGUAAUGAUACAACAUAUCUUUAUGUAAUUGAAUUUCU